rnacentral:rRNA from 1 species
ACACGACUACAUUAGAUACCCGCGUAGUCCUAGCCGUAAACGAUACUCGCUAGGUGUCGGCCACGGUGCGACCGUUGUCGGUGCCGUAGGGAAGCCGUGAAGCGAGCCACCUGGGAAGUACGGCCGCAAGGCUGAAACUUAAAGGAAUUGGCGGGGGAGCACCACAACGGGCGGAGCCUGCGGUUUAAUCGGACUCAACGCCGGGAAUCUCACCGGAUAAGACAGCUGAAUGAUAGUCGGGAUGAAGACUCUACUUGACUAGCUG